GUUAAAACGCCCGUAGUUGGACCAGCGGAUUUGGAGAACGGUCUGCCGAUGGGCUGUACUGUUCUCCUGUCCUAUUUUCUCUAGUUCGCUCUAGGUGCUCUUCACUGAGUGUCUAGAGUGGCUGGAACUUUUACUUUGAAAAAAUUAGAGUGCUUAAAGCAGGCGUCUCAGCCUGAAUAGUGGUGCAUGGAAUAAUGGAAUAGGACCUCAGUUCUAUUUUGUUGGUUUUCGGAACAUGAGGUAAUGAUUAAGAGGGACAGACGGGGGCAUUCGUAUUGCGACGUUAGAGGUGAAAUUCUUGGAUCGUCGCAAGACGAACUACUGCGAAAGCAUUUGCCAAGAAUGUUUUCAUUAAUCAAGGACGAUAGUUAGAGGUUCGAAGGCGAUCAGAUACCGCCCUAGUUCUAACCGUAAACGAUGUCAACCAGCGAUCCGCAGGAGUUAUUCAUGACUCUGCGGGCAGCUUCCGGGAAACCAAAGUUUUUGGAUUCCGGGGGGAGUAUGGUUGCAAAGCUGAAACUUAAAGGAAUUGACGGAAGGGCACCACCAGGAGUGGCACUGCGGCUUAAUUUGACUCAACGCGGGGAAACUCACCCGGCCCGGACACCGUAAGGAUUGACAGAUUGAGAGCUCUUUCUUGAUUCAGUGGGUGGUGGCGCAUGGCCGUUCUUAGUUGGUGGAGCGAUUUGUCUGGUUAAUUCCGAUAACGAACGAGACUCUAGCCUACUAAAUAGAAGGCAAAUUAUUCGUUUGCUGUACUUCUUAGAGG
rnacentral:rRNA from 1 species